UUGGAGGUGAGAAUGAAGAUGGUAGCACUGAGACCUGCAGCAAUCCUUCCUUUGGUUCUAACGACUUAGCAGCGCUUCACACGUGCAGUGUUAUCACUUACACCAAGCAGUCCAUCUCUGCCAUGCCCCGCACUUCGUGCCAGUUUUCAAUCAACUUCAUUAUGAUAGUCACCUGCUGUGACCAUCAGAACUGCAAAUGUAACAGAAAACAAGGGAAGAUGACGGGGAAUAUAAUGGUUGCUUUUUCUUCUUUUGAGGUACUGAUGAUAUAAUCUCUGUUUUACUUGACUGAGGAGAAAAUGAAGAAAAAGUAAUAGCAUGUAGUCCUGUCAAUUUGUGUAUUGGUAUCUGUAAAUAAAAUUCUCUCAUACA